rnacentral:tRNA from 1 species
GCCGGGGUAGCCUAGCCUGGGAAGGCGCGGGACUCGAGAUCCCGUGGGUUUUACCCACCAGGGUUCAAAUCCCUGCCCCGGCG